GACGAACGCUGGCGGCGUGCCUAACACAUGCAAGUCGAGCGGACUUAUGCAAAGCACUAAUAGCUCACAAACUGACAGUUACUCGGGAGCCAUCCUAUGAAAUCGCGUAGCGAUUUCAUUACGCCCCUCCAAGUGACUAACAGUCAGUUGGAGGGGUAACCCAAGUGACUAACAGUCAGUUGAUGGGGUUAACCCAAGUGACAAUGGAGAGAUACACUUAAGGUGAGGUAUUAGUGCUUUGCAGAAAGUUAGCGGCGGACGGGUGAGUAACGCGUGAGUAACCUGCCUUUCAGUGGGGAAUAACGUUCCGAAAGGAACGCUAAUACCGCAUAACGUAGUAUUUGCGGCAUCGUAGAUAUACCAAAGAUUUAUUGCUGAGAGAUGGACUCGCGUCUGAUUAGCUAGUUGGUAGGGUAACGGCCUACCAAGGCGACGAUCAGUAGCCGAACUGAGAGGUUGAUCGGCCACAUUGGGACUGAGACACGGCCCAGACUCCUACGGGA
rnacentral:rRNA from 1 species